rnacentral:rRNA from 1 species
GUGUCAGCCGCCGCGGUAAUACGUAGGGAGCGAGCGUUGUCCGGAAUUACUGGGCGUAAAGGGUGCGUAGGUGGCCUAGCAAGUCAGAUGUGAAAUCCCCGGGCUUAACUCGGGGGGUGCAUUUGAAACUGCCUGGCUUGAGUGCAGGAGAGGAAAGCGGAAUUCCUAGUGUAGCGGUGAAAUGCGUAGAUAUUAGGAGGAACACCAGUGGCGAAGGCGGCUUUCUGGACUGUAACUGACACUGAGGCACGAAAGCGUGGGGAGCAAACAGGAUUAGAUACCCUGGUAGUCCACGCGGUAAACGAUGGAUACUAGGUGUGGGGGAGAUACAACCUCCGUGCCGCAGCAAACGCAAUAAGUAUCCCGCCUGGGGAGUACGGCCGCAAGGCUGAA